rnacentral:ribozyme from 1 species
UGCCCAGCAGCUCCUUUCCUACCUCCUCGUGGUACUGGCCAGGGUACGAGUAACCUUAGGGAAGAUCGGGAAACCAAUCCCGUUGGUAAAUUUUGUCGUAUGCUGACAGAGAAGG